UAGGAAGAGUAGCUUGAAUGUCUCCUGUUCAAAUUGUGGAUCCGCGUUUUAUUUGACAAGUCCGGCACUGAAAGAUUAUCCCGGUCUCGAGGGAGCGUUAUUUUAGCGGUUGCCUGGAGGCAUCAGCAUCACUUUCCUUGGAGACUUCCUAAGGAAGUAAAGCGCAAAUCCCAGAUGCGGACUCGAAGCAGAAUAGAGCGUUAUCUCCUGUGUGACUGUCAUACUUUCUCUCUGCCGUGUAAUUCCAGACAACGAUUUUAUUCCGGCUUCGAGGAGAAAUCAGACGGAGCUCACGAAAACUCACAGUCAACCAUGCUUAAAAGAAAGGAAAUCUCGCAGAAGAAACGUGUCGAACCUUGUUUUAUCUGUUUUUAUCCGAAAUUCCGUGUUACUUUUUAAACGAUGCUUGCGAUGUUCUCUUUUUUGUUUGAGAAGAAGCAACGCUGAUAGCAAAAUAAAGUAAGACAGGACUGAGAGGGCUGUAAAGAUAAGUGGUCUCCAAGGGGAACAUCGCACUGGACUGAUACGGCUCUAGGCAAAUUGCUGGCUCCGCACAGGUUCUGCUUCCAAAUGUUCAGUCUUGACCACUGUGUGACUGUGGGCACUUUAUUUCUGAAAUUAUGAAGUGUCUAUGGAAGAUGUCCUCAACAGAACCAAGUGACUCAAAACCUGUGAGACAACAGGCAGUUGAGCCUCCGCAGGCACCAGUGAGACUGCAGGUGAAGGAGCUUAAAAGAAGGUGCUAUGAACAUUAUGACAGGUUGGACCUGGCAAAAGAAAGAAGACAGCUGGCUUAUGAGUACAGAAAUCCCCUUUGAAGAGGAGGAGGAGUGAUGUCUUCCAAGGUUAAAAGCAGAAGCAGAUCAGAGCCUUUUCUUAAAGGAACAAUAAAUGUUUUUUUAAGGACCAUAAAACAGUUGCUUGUGUCUGUGUGUUAGUCCCUCCUCUGCCGUAUUUUGAGUUGUUCCAUUGUAUUUUGUAUGCUAUAUGACGUAAUUACAACAACAUUAGCUUUUUUUCUCAAAUCAUAAAACUCUAGAUUUUUGAAUGGUCAAUUCAAAAUCUUCAGUUAAUGUGCUUUCUGCAGAAUGCGUCCACAUGCAUUUUACAAAUGUUACAUGUUGACCAAGAAAAAACAUACUCAGAUGUGAAAAAUUAGGAACAUAAAGUGCUACAAAACCAAUAAAAAUUAUUCUGGGUUGCCAACAGAAAAUGUAUGUGAUUUAAUGCAUACAUGCAACUACUUUCAACAAUCAGAUGAUUAAUUAAGGUAACCCUAGAUUAACCAUUAAGGAAGAUCCAGUAAGGACAUCCUUUGGCUGUCAAUAGAAACGGUCCUCAGUGGUUUUACAAAAGUAGGAGAAAAGUUGAAGUAUAAAUUAUUUUAUAAGUAAACAACAAUAAGCAUUAUUUUUACAUCUUUUUAUCCAUGUAUGUUAAAAUGAUCUAUAUAUUCAAGUUUGUAAAACAAUGGAAUGGAAGAUGUUUUGUUAGGUACAAAUAAUAUUUCCUCACUAGAGCAACUUUCUAAACAUUAUCCACCAACAUCGAUUUCUGUAUCACUUUAUUUCAGUAUUGUGACAAGUGUAAAAGCUUACUUUAGUAGGCUGGAUUGUAGGGCUUAUUCUGAUAGCCUCUGCUGAGGCAGCAUUCGGGCAAUAUAGAUGUGCGUUUUUUUGGUUUAACUUUAUAUAUGUUUCUUUUCAUGUUUACAAAGAUAUUUUGAAUGUCAGUAUUAAAGUCUAGUUAGACUUGUUUGUUUUU